CCAGCCUGUCUUCUCUACCAGAUCUGGCGGCCGCGUCGGCGAAACUGCUGGCAGUGAGACGGUUCGCGGGUGUGCGAUAGGAAACAUCGGCCGGUCGUCUUCGAGUCCGCCUACCACGGCGAUCCCGCAGUACAGCCUCCCCGCCUCCAAUAUGUGGCCUGGACAAGGCCGUCUUCUCCUUUCCUCUGUGGCGUCCAAUGAAGAGCUACACCACCGUGGCACCACAUGUGUAUUGUACCUUCGCCCCGCGGCCCUUCUGUUCUGGGAUGAGGCAGCGUUUGUCUGUAGCACUCCAUGUCCCACAUCAACAUUCCUUUCUUACUUAGUGUUGUACAAGUGAUGCAAUCAGGAUUUGCUGGUUUUUGAACAUAUCCCUGAUAGAGUGAAAGGGACGGAAGAAUUGGAAAUACAAUGAGGAUGGUGCAUGGAGAACAUGCUCUGUUGCCAUCUUCAUCCGCGAAUUGGCUCCCAAAUCUAAAAGGUGUGGCUGCCGAAACAUGAGUCUAACAAGGCGCGGCUGCUGAACCAGGAGAACCGCAGACCUGGUCACAAUGAAUGAGUUUGAGACAAACCUUGUGUCAUGUGUUAUCGCACUCAGAUAUCGGAGCCUUGGAGAAUGUAAAGAAAUGUUAAACGGGUAGAUGUGGCCCCUCUAAACUUACUUGAAUUGUUCAGCAAAGGUCCGCGAUUAAUGGUACCCAUGUACAUUCAGUAGGGCGAGUUGGUCUUGCUAUAUUGCAUUCAGGCAUAGUGUUGAUAUUUCAUCAAAAAUAAGUUCAAGCAUGAUAUUUAAGAUCAAUUCUGGAA